GUACGCACUCCUACGGGAGGCAGCAUGGGGAAUAUUGCACAAUGGGCGCAAGCCUGAUGCAGCCAUGCCGCGUGUAUGAAGAAGGCCUUCGGGUUGUAAAGUACUUUCAGCAGUGAGGAAGGUGGGUAUGUUAAUAGCAUAUUCAUUUGACGUUAGCUGCAGAAGAAGCACCGGCUAACUCCGUGCCAGCAGCCGCGGUAAUACGGAGGGUGCGAGCGUUAAUCGGAAUUACUGGGCGUAAAGCGCAUGCAGGUGGUUUGUUAAGUCAGAUGUGAAAGCCCGGGGCUCAACCUCGGAAUUGCAUUUGAAACUGGCAAACUAGAGUACUGUAGAGGGGGUAGAAUUUCAGGUGUAGCGGUGAAAUGCGUAGAGAUCUGAAGGAAUACCGGUGGCGAAGGCGGCCCCCUGGACAGAUACUGACACUCAGAUGCGAAAGCGUGGGGAGCAAACAGGAUUAGAUACCCUGGUAG
rnacentral:rRNA from 1 species